GAUGAACGCUGGCGGCAUGCUUGACACAUGCAAGUUGGACGAAGAUUAUAAUCUUUUAGAGUAUAAUACUUAGUAGCGGACGGGUGAGUAACGCGUAAGAAUCUACCUUUAGGAAAAAUAUAACAAUUGGAAACGAUUGCUAAUAAUUUAUAUGCUGAGAAGUUAAAUGGAUUUCCGCCUAAAGAUGAGCUUGCGUCUGAUUAGUUAGUUGGUGAGGUAAAAGCUUACCAAGGCAAUUAUCAGUAGUUGGUCUGAGAGGAUGAUCAACCACACUGGGACUGAGACACGGCCCAG
rnacentral:rRNA from 1 species